rnacentral:misc_RNA from 1 species
CUUCCUAAACCCACACAUAAACCCUAAUUUCCUGCUGCCCGCCUCCAAAACCAAAAACCCUAAUCUGAUCUACAAAAUGGGCCGUCGAAAGAACAGCAACAAUAACAAUCAGGGCUCAAUGGGCUUCAACAACGCGCAACACCAGGGCACCAAGAUUCGAUUUCAAGGUGAAGACGAAGAGCUGACCACAGAGAGCUCAAACCUUGACGAGUCAACUGUAACCGGCGACAAAGCCAUUGCUAUGGACGACGACUCCAUGUGCGAGCCCGAUGUCUCCUUUGUCGAUGGCGAUGAUGAUAAGACUAGCGCCGAUUAUUACUUCGAUUCCUAUUCUCACUUUGGUAUUCACGAAGAAAUGCUGAAGGAUAUGGUGAGAACUAAGACAUAUCAAAAUGUUAUUUAUCAGAAUAAGUUUCUAUUCAAGAAUAAAGUAGUACUUGAUGUUGGUGCUGGAACUGGAAUUCUGUCCCUAUUUUGUGCGAAAGCUGGGGCUGCACGUGUUUAUGCGGUUGAAUGCUCUGACAUGGCAGACAUGGCAAAAGAGAUAGUUGAAUCAAAUGGAUUUUCAGAAAUUGUAACUGUUUUGAAGGGAAAGGUUGAAGAGAUUGAGCUACCAGUCGCUAAUGUAGAUAUCAUAAUUUCAGAAUGGAUGGGAUAUUUUCUGUUGUAUGAAAAUAUGUUAAACACUGUCCUCUAUGCACGAGAUAAAUGGCUUGUUAGUGAUGGAAUUCUUCUACCAGACAAAGCUUCCCUUUAUUUGACAGCCAUUGAGGAUGCAGACUACAAAGAAGAUAAGAU